GCUUGAACUCACCACCCUGAGACCAAGAGUCGAAUGCUCUACAACUGAGCCAGCCAGGCGCCCCGUGCUUUGACUUUUAAGUAGUAUUUUAUCUACCAUAUCUGGCAGAUUUGCUUGUAAAUGCAUCACGAAGAGGCAACCCAGAAUGAAGAAAGCAAGCAGGAGUGUUGGCUCAGUGCCUAAAGUGUCUGGGAUAAGCAAAACGCAAACAGUAGAAAAAACAAAACCUGAAAACAGCUCUUCAGCAUCUACAGGAGGCAAACUUGUAAAACCUGGAACAGCAGCAUCGUUGUCAAAGGGUUAUCAGAACUAAACCCAGACUUACUCCACGGGCUUGGAGGUGCCCCCAGAUUUUCUCCUUGCUGCAGUUUUGAUGAGCUGCUGGAUGUCAUCCUAUGGC